AUGAUGGAGCUACCAGGGAGGCAUUAUUGGGUCUUCAGUGUCAACUUGAGGGACGGACGCUUCGAAGUUCUUGAUUCAAGCAGGACGCUGGACAACAUUGAGCUGAUGAACAACGCCUCUACCAUUGCGGGGGCAGUACGCCAGCUAUGGAGGAAGCAUUACCCAAAGUUCAGCAUCGAGCACUUCCAGAUUAUUGACAUUGACGUACCGAAGCAGCUUGGCAAUAAUGAGUGUGGGUUGUUCGCACUGCUUAACGCCACCGAGUGGAAUGGUAGCCAACUGCCCAACUACGACCCCAAGGAAGUACUCAACAUCAGGAAGAAGAUGACGUAUGAUUGGGUCACCAGCGUGCACAACACCGCCCCAUGGAGGAAGUUGCUGAGAUACGACAAGGAGUAG
rnacentral:rRNA from 1 species